rnacentral:lncRNA from 1 species
CUGAAACAUCAUAGUAGCCAGAGGAAAAGAAAGCAAAAGAGAUUCCCGUGGUAGCGGCGAGCCAAAUGAGAGCAGCCUAAAUAGUGAAAAUGGGGUUGUGGGAGAGCAAUACAAGUGUCAUGAUACUAGGCGAAGCAACUUUAAUGUUGCACCCUAGAUGGAGAAUGUCCAGUAGCCGAAAGCAUCACUAGCUUACUCUCUGACCCGAGUAGCAUGGGGCAUGUGGAAUCCCAUGUCAAUCAGAAAGGACAACCUUGCAAGGCUAAGUAGUACUAUGAGGGAAGGGUGAAAAGAACCUCCAUCGGGGAGUAAAAUAGAACAUGAAAUUGUAAGCUCCCAAGCAGUGGGAGGAGCCAGGGCUCUAACCGCGUGCCUAUUGAAGAAUGAACCGGUGACUCAUAUGCAGUGUCUUGGUUAAGGCAACCCACCGGAGCUGUAGCAAAAGCGAGUCUUCAUAGGGCAAUUGUCACUGCUUAUGGACCCAAACCGUGGUGAUCUAUCCAUGAACAGGAUGAAGCUUGGGUGAAACUAAGUGGAGGUCCAAACCGACUGAUGUUGAAGAAUCAGCCGAAGAGUUGUGGUUAGGGGUGAAAUGCCACUCGAACCCAGAGCUAGCUUGUUCUCCCCAAAAUGCGUUGUGGCGUAGCAGUUGACUGGACAUCUAGGGGUAAAGCACUAUUUUGGUGCGGGCCACGAGAGCGGUACCAAAUCGAGGCAAACUCUAAAUACUAGGUAUGGCCUUAAAAUUAAAAAAGAGGGGUCAAAGUCGGCUAGUGAGACGAUGGGGGAUAAGCUUCAUCGUCGAGAGGGAAACAGCUCGGAUCACCAGCUAAGGCCGCUAAAUGGCCUCUCAGUGAUAAAGAAGGUAGGGGUGUGGAGACAGCCAGGAGGUUUGCCUAGAAGCAGCCACCCUUAAAAGAGUGCGUAAUAGCUCACUAAUUGAGCGCUCUUGCGCCGAAGAUGAAUGAGGCUAAGUGAUCUGCAUAAUCUAUGGGGUGUAAAAAUAUAUUAGUAGGGGAGCGUUCCGCCUUAGAGGGAAGCCUCUGCACGAGCGGUGAUGGACGAAGCGGAAGCGAGAAUGUCGUCUUGAUUAAAGCAAACAUUGGUGAGAAUCCAAUGCCCCGAAAACCUAAGGGUUCCUCCACAAGGUUUGUCUAUGGAGGGUAAGUCAGGGCCUAAGAUCAGGCCAAAAGGUGUAGUCAAUGGACAACAGGUGAAUAUUCCUGUACUACCCCUUCUUGGUCCCGAGGGACGGAGGAGGCUAGGUUAGCCGAAAGAUGGUUAUCGGUUCAAGAACGUAAGGUGUCCCUACCCUUUUUUCAGGGUAAGAAGGGUUAGAGAAAAUUCCUUGAGCCAAUGAUUAAAUACCAGGUGCUACGACGCUGAAGUAACCCAUGCCAUACUCCCACGAAAAGCUUGAACGACUUUGAGCAAGAGGGUACCUGUACCCAAAACCGGCACAGAUGGGUAGGUAGAGAAUACCUAGGGGCACGAGAUAACUCUCUCUAAAAAACUCGGCAAAAUAGCCCCGUAACUUUAGGAGAAGGGGUGGUGCCUUUUCACAUCAUAAAGGGGGUCACAGUGACCAGGCUUGGGCGACUCUUUACCAAAAACACAAGUCUCCGCAAGGUCAUAAGACCAUGUAUGGGGGCUGACGCCUGCCCAGUGCCGGAAGGUCAAGGAAGUUGGUGACCUGAUGAUAGAGGAGCCAGCGACCGAAGCCUCGGUGAACGGCGGCCAUAACUAUAACGGUCCUAAGGUAGUGAAAUUCCUUGUCGGGUAAGUUCCGACCCAAACGAAAGGUAUAAUGAUCUGGGCACUGUCUUGGAGAGAGGCUCGGUGAAAUAGACAUGUCUGUGAAGAUGUGGACUAUCUGCACCUUGACAGAAAGACCCUAUGAAGCUUCACUGUUCCCUAGCAUUGGCUUUGGGCCUUUCCUGCGCAGCUUAGGUGAAAGCCGAAGAAGGCCUCCUUCCGGGGGGCUCGAGCCAUCAGUGAGAUACCACUCUGGAAGGGCUAGAAUUCUAACCUUGUGUCAGGACCUACGAGCCAAGGGACAGUCUCAGGUAGUCAAUUUCUAUGGGGCGUAGGCCUCCCAAAAGGUAACAGAGGCGUGCAAACGUUUCCUCGGGCCAUACAGAGAUUGGCCCUCGGAUGCAAAGACGUAAGGGAUCUUGACUGCAAGACCCACCCAUCGAGAAGGGACGAAAGUCGACCUUAGUGAUCCCACGGUAUCGAGUGGAAGGGCCGUCGCUUAAUGGAUAAAAGUUACAAUAGGGAUAACAGGCUGAUCUUUCCCAAGAGAUCACAUUGACGGGAAGGUUUAGCACUUCGAUGUCGGCUCUUUGCCACCUGGGGUUGUAGUAUGUUCCAAGGGUUGGGUUGUUCGCCCAUUAAAUCGGUACGUGAGCUGGGUUCAAAAUGUCGUGAGACAGUACGGUCCAUAUCCGGUGUGGGAGUUAGAGCAUUGAGAGGACCUUUCCCUAGUGAGAGAGGACCG